UACGUAGGGUGCAAGCGUUAUCCGGAAUUAUUGGGCGUAAAGAGCUCGUAGGCGGUUUGUCGCGUCUGCUGUGAAAACUGGAGGCUCAACCUCCAGCCUGCAGUGGGUACGGGCAGACUAGAGUGCGGUAGGGGAGAUUGGAAUUCCUGGUGUAGCGGUGGAAUGCGCAGAUAUCAGGAGGAACACCAAUGGCGAAGGCAGAUCUCUGGGCCGUAACUGACGCUGAGGAGCGAAAGCAUGGGGAGCGAGCAGG
rnacentral:rRNA from 1 species